rnacentral:rRNA from 1 species
UUACAUGACUGUGCUGGACUGAAAGCACCUUAUCCCUUCUGAUUUUAGAAGCUAAGCAGUUCUGCACUUGGUUAGAACUUGCAUGGGAGAUAAUGUCAGAAUCACAGGGGUUGUGGGUA